UAUGGAAUUCCACUAUUAACAACAACAAACGAUCAUGCUCCUCUGAAACCAAACCUUUGCUUUAGGUUUAAUUGAACAUAUUGGUACAUUAUGCAGACACAUAAAUACAAUGUGAUAUCACACAAUAUAAAAUACAAAUAAAAUAUAAGAUCGGCCUAACUACAUGGACAGAUGUCUGGUGUCUUGCAGUAUUUCUUAAACUUAGAGAAAAUAAUCCUUUAUUGUUUAUUCAUAAAGAUCAUGAGCCCACCCUGGACCAGGAGGACCCAGUCCUUGUUCAGUUUGUAGAUGAGGAGGUUCGGCAGCGGCCCUGUCUGGCUUUAAUCCCUUGGUCUGGACCUCUGUGGGUUUCAAGCGCUUCUGUAACACUGCAGCCAACUUAUUACCUUACCCAUGCUGGGAGGAUGCUGGUGAGAGAGCUGGCAGUGUUAAACCCACAGAUUUUCAUGAAUGAGCAACACAUUUUCAUCUCUCAUGCUGGCACGAUGGUAUGGGAUGAACAGUUUUCUCAGCCUGAAGAGUAUGUGGAUGAGGAGGUUCGGCAGCAGCCCUGUCUGGC